GGCGGAGGGCCGAGUUUACCUAGCCCGCUGGUUCUGGUGACCGAGGCCUGCGCGGGUCCUUUCCCGAGCGGGAAGGAGGGUCUGGAAAGGCCAGGCCUAGGGUUGGGGACUGGGGUGCAGUGCGGCUGGUGGAGGAGUGCGGCGGCUGAGGCUGGCGGCUUCGGGGGUUUUCUUUUUGGGAGGAGGGGGCGCGGCUCGUGGCGCGUUCGGUGCGGGGAAGUGGGGUGAGACUCUGACAGCCUGAAUCCCUGAGGUGCUGGGCGCGACGCGGGCCUUCCUUUUCCGGCUGGGGCGAGUGACCUGGAACUCUAAUUUCUUUUUUGAAGGAGAUCCCGGCUUCAUGGAAACAAGAUGGGCUUUUACAAGUAGGGUUUGGAGAAGUCAUGCCAGGCAGCAGAAACCCAUCUUGAGAUGAAAUAACUUUUACCUGGCCCCCUGGCAGAAUUUCAAGGCAAACACUGGGCUGACUCUGGGGCCAUGAUGUUCUCUGAUCCUUCUGCGUGGGGAGAGCAGGCCUGGGAGGAGAUUUCGCCUUUGGGAAACAGGGAAGAUAUGGAAACCAUGAAGGAAUUGACUCAACAUCCUAAGGCCAAAGGUACCAGUUACAUUCAGGGAUGUGGCUGUAGUCUUCAUGGAGGCAAAUGGAAGAGACUGAGCAGAAGAACCUAUACAAAGAAGUGAUGCUGGGGAAUUACAGGAGUGUAAUCUCAUUGGCAGAACCAAAGCCAGGAAUCCACCCAUGUUCCUCCUGCCUUCUGGCCUUCCCCUGUCAGCAAUUCCUCAGCCAGCGUGUGCUUCAGAUCUUCCCCAGUUUAUGUGUGGAAAAUCACUUCCAUCCAGGGGAUUCUGGCCUGGAGCCUCAGGAGCAGCAGUGUUCUGCUCAGUGAAAACACGGAAGGGCAAGAGAGAGAAGGCAGUUCCAAACUCUUGUGUACGGGGACAGAGGAGAGAGACCUCAGGCUCAUUCUCUGGCCCCUGCUGUGGACAGUCAGCAAGUCCUAGAGAAGGCACCAGGGUGGUAGAAAUAGACCCCACGUCAGUCCAAAGGGUAAAUCCUGUGCAACCAGACAAAGGAUUGAUGGAAUUAGAAACCUCGAGAUCUGGAGCAGUCAACUGUAGAGAGCGUGAAUUAGACUGUGGCCC